GGAGGGUGCAAGCGUUAUCCGGAUUUACUGGGGUCUAAAGGGGGUGCGUAGGCGGCGCAGUAAGUCAGUGGUGAAAGCCCAGAGCUCAACUUUGGGAAUUGCCAUUGAAACUGCUGUGCUUGAGUACGGAUGAAGUGGGCGGAAUGUAGCAUGUAGCGGUGAAAUGCUUAGAUAUGCUACAGAACACCGAUUGCGAAGGCAGCUCACUAGACCGUUACUGACGCUGAUGCACGAAAGCGUGGGGAGCGAACAGGAUUAGAUACCCUGGUAGUCCACGCCCUAAACUAUGUUCACUCGGUAUGUGCGAUAUACUGUACGUGCCCAAGCGAAAGCGUUAAGUGAACCACCUGGGGAGUACGUUCGCAAGAAUG
rnacentral:rRNA from 1 species